AUGAGCAUUCUCCAAAGCUCAGCUUACUCAGACAUUAUGGCAUGUUUUUUGGGCAGAGAGAUGGAGCAGAACAAGGUUGGCAUGACCAGUACACUGGAUAGACUGAGGGAAAGAAGGCGGCCCUGGCAGGAAAAAUCUCAGAGUUGGUGGCAAGAAGUUCAGAUUGGAGGGCAAUCAGCAUCCAGAUACUCCAAAGAGCUUGAAACAGAUGGAUAUCCUGCUAUGCAGAUACCAACUAGAGAGGUAGGUAUGUAUCCCAUGAAUCCAGCAGUGGUCAUGUGGAUCAGCAUCAGGGUCCUAGGGCAUAAACUAGAAUGGUGUCUUGGGCAGGGAAAACUGGGAGACUGAAUAGGACAUCAAGCAUGAACAGAGACAUGGACUGUCACAAAGGAAGUAGCAAAGUUUUUCCUAGCCCCAAGGUCUAAGAGAAAUACCUCCUGGGGUGCUCAGAAAUAGUUUUGCAGAAUGACUUGAAACUGCUCAGUGAAAGCUGAAAUAGGAGCGGUUAAAACAAAGUUAACUUACCUUGAACUCCAGGAUCUCUUGGUGAUUUCCAAACUCUCCUGCCAGAGUACCAUUAUAUCUAGAUGAAUGGGCGAUCUGCAUACCUUCAAGCCAGGGUCUGACAAACUUCUGUAAAGGGUAAGAUAGUAAAUAUUUUAGACCUUAGGGCCAUUAGGUCUCUAUUGUGUAUUAGUCACUCAUUUGUGUCUGACUCUUUGCAACCCCAUGGACUGUAGCCCGCCAGUCUCCUCUGUCCAUGGGAUUCUCCAGGCAAGAAUACUGGAGUGGGUAGUCAUUCCCUUCUCCAGGGGAUCUCACCAACCCAGGGAUGGAACCUGGGUCUCCUGCAUUUCAGGCAGAUUCUUCACUGUCUGAGCCACCAGGGAAGCCGUAGGUCUCUAUGACAACUACUCAAUACUGUCAUAGGGUAAAAGCAGCAGCAGAGAAUUUGUAAACAAAUGAGUGUGGUUGGGUUCUAAUAAGACUUUGUUAUGUUAUGGAACAC
rnacentral:lncRNA from 1 species